rnacentral:rRNA from 1 species
UACAGAGGGGGCAAGCGUUGUUCGGAAUUACUGGGCGUAAAGGGCGCGUAGGCGGCCCGCUAAGUCGAACGUGAAAUCCCCGAGCUCAACUCGGGAACUGCGUCCGAUACUGGAUGGCUUGAAUCCGGGAGAGGGAUGCGGAAUUCCAGGUGUAGCGGUGAAAUGCGCAGAUAUCAGGAGGAACACCGAUGGCGAAGGCAGGUCUCUGGGCCAUAACUGACGCUGAGAAGCGAAAGCAUGAGGAGCGAACAGG